rnacentral:rRNA from 1 species
UACUCCUACGGGAGGCAGCAGUGGGGAAUAUUGGGCAAUGGGCGCAAGCCUGACCCAGCAACGCCGCGUGAAGGAAGAAGGCUUUCGGGUUGUAAACUUCUUUUACCAGGGACGAAGAAAUGACGGUACCUGGAGAAAAAGCCACGGCUAACUACGUGCCAGCAGCCGCGGUA